rnacentral:tRNA from 2 species
UCCUUGGUGGUCUAGUGGUUAAGACUUGGCGCUUUCACUGCCAAGGGCACAGGUUCAAUCCCUGGUCAGGGAA